GCCUGGGUGGCUCAGUUGGUUAAGCAUCUGACUCUUUAUUUUGGCUCAGGACAUGAUUUCACAUUUUGUGGGAUCAAGCCCCACAUCGGGCU
rnacentral:tRNA from 1 species